rnacentral:rRNA from 1 species
CUACGGGCGGCUCCAGUGGGGAAUAUUGGGCAAUGGGCGAAAGCCUGACCCAGCAACGCCGCGUGAAGGAAGAAGGUUUUCGGAUCGUAAACUUCUAUCCCAGGUGAAGAUAAUGACGGUAGCCUGGAAGGAAGCCCCGGCUAACUACGUGCCAGCAGCCGCGGUAAUACGUAGGGGGCAAGCGUUGUCCGGAAUGAUUGGGCGUAAAGGGCGCGUAGGCGGCCUUCUAAGUCCGAUGUGAAAGGCCUGCUUUUAAGGUGGGAAUUGCAUUGGAAACUGGAGGGCUUGAGUGCAGGAGAGGUAAGUGGAAUUCCCGGUGUAGCGGUGAAAUGCGUAGAGAUCGGGAGGAACACCAGUGGCGAAGGCGACUUACUGGACUGUAACUGACGCUGAGGCGCGAAAGUGUGGGGAGCAAACAGGAUUAGAUACCCGUGUAGUC